UACGUAGGGGGCUAGCGUUGUCCGGAAUCAUUGGGCGUAAAGAGCGUGUAGGCGGCCCGGUAAGUCCGCUGUGAAAGUCGGGGGCUCAACCCUCGAAUGCCGGUGGAUACUGUCGGGCUAGAGUGCGGAAGAGGCGAGUGGAAUUCCUGGUGUAGCGGUGAAAUGCGCAGAUAUCAGGAGGAACACCGAUUGCGAAGGCAGCUCGCUGGGACGUAACUGACGCUGAGACGCGAAAGCCAGGGGAGCGAACGGG
rnacentral:rRNA from 1 species